rnacentral:lncRNA from 12 species
GUCAGGCCUUAUACAGCUGGAUGACAGAACAGUGUCUAUAUGAACAGUCCCAAGCCACCACUGAUUUUAUGAGCCGAGUGCUGCCUGUAAAGAGGGAAGAUAGAUCUCCA